GCAUCAUUGGUGUAGUGGUUAGCAUGGAGUCUUCCCAGGCAGGGAAAUUAAACUCUCCCAAUCCGUUAGGCUUCGACAUGGGUUCGAAUCCCGUAUGAUGCA
rfam:Fomitiporia mediterranea MF3/22 unplaced genomic scaffold FOMMEscaffold_3, whole genome shotgun sequence.